AGAAAUAGGCCACCGUAACUGUCAGCUUUUCUUCUCCUCGGUAAUGUUUACAUGACGCUCUCCCCUGUUCUGCCAGGAAUGUGGGCCGCAGUGUGGGAAGUAAUGCUAGGCUUAAGGUUGGACUUACUGCCUGUUGACUGUGCAACUUUGGAGAUCUUGCAGUCUGAGACUUGCAGAGGACGAAGGCCCAUGUUAACAGAUUACAGCUAUGGCAGAAAGCCCUGCUUUUGGAACUGCCUUUGUAAACACUUAUAAAUUAUUUGUGCAGAUGGCAGUCAUCCUCUGUGACUAUGAAGACUGAUUUGAAUUUCCAAAAUGGCCAGACUGCAUGGAGAAUCAUUUAAAAAGUAAAGCAUGAUUAUGAAGUAGUAAGGUUUGUAUUUUUUCAUACUGCUGGUCAAACACUUCCUCUGGAGGGACAGCCAGAAAAGGAGCCACGAUGGUCUUUUAAUAUUUAUUAUAGUAGUAGAAUCACACAUAAGGAUAAGUGAGAGUAUUAGAGAGGGCAUUUGGGAUGCCAGGACUCCAUUUCCUAAAAAUUGCUAAUGCCUAUCACCAGGGCAUAAUGCAAUCUGCACCUAGGCUCUGGAAGGAAGUUUGGCAGGAAGUUAUCAACACAAACCCCAUUAGCCAUAGAGUUCAGCAGGUGUGAACAAAUGCUGACACCUCUCCAUGAUGGUGCAUGGAGCACGUGUGAGCAAACUCUCCACGAUGGCCACUGCCCAUGCUUUUUGCUCUGACCUUUUCAGAGUCAUUUCAGCUCCUACACUCAUGUUUAGAUCACAAGGUUCCAGAUGUGUCCACAUCAUAUUCUAUGCUUCAGAGAUAUUUUUUAAACAGCAGUUUUCUAAGAGUUAAGAAAGGAGGUAAUUCUAAAGAAUCCACUCCAAAACUACUAGAUCUAAUAUCUGAAUUCAGCA